CUUCCAGUAGCACCUUAGAGACCAACUAAGUUUGUUAUUGGUAUGAGCUUUCGAUACCUGAAGAUCAUCUGAAGAAGUGUGCAUGCACACGAAAGCUCAUACCAAUAACAAACUUAGUUGGUCUCUAAGGUGCUACUGGAAG